UGUAAGUUAUUAAAUACUUUUAAUUUUGAAUUUCAUAAUCUACUAUUCAUUACUUAUGCUUUAGACAAUUAACUAUAAUGGCUAACUUUACAGUCUGAUUAUCUAAAUGAGGAGAGUCUCAUCAUUCCAAUUCCCGAAGUUGUGGAUCCUUAGCUUACUAUCUUUUUUGUAAGGAUGGAGUGAUUUUGAGUUGAAGACUUAAUGUUGUUUUCUAUGCUUUGUUAUGCCACCAUGAUGGCUCUUAAGACAUAUAUGCUGAUAUGCACUUGGUCACUUGGAUUAAUGUUGAAUUUUUAUUUUUUUAUGUUGGUGUAUUUAACUAUUUGAUGUUGUUACUUUUAUGAUACUAUAUUUAGCUAAAUAUGCUUAGCUAACUUCACUUAUCUAAAUAUGCUUAGCUAACUUUUCAAUAUUGAAAAUUUCUUGUUUGAUAUGAUUUUGUUACAUUACAGUAAAAUUGAAUGCUAUUGGUUGUUUGCUUGAGAAAAUAUGCAGGAUUAAGAUGAAAAAGAGCAAUAUGGAGAUUGGAGGCGAAAGAGAAGAUAUGCAAGGCUGCAAGAAAAAUACAAAAGGAAAUUGACAUUCAUUACAAG